ACCACAGGGUAGCAAAGUGAGA
rnacentral:miRNA from 1 species